GGUCAGGGGUGGGUUUUUUUAUUUCAAUAGAGGGAUUUGGGGCAUAGGGACAGGCAGUGAGCAAGGCUGCAGCAGGGCAGAUUCAGGCUGCAAGACCCAGUACACAGCGGCUUCUGCCGGUUGGGCCUUCUCAGGCUUCCAGAUCCUUCAUGAGGGAUCAACACUAGCUUCUUCUUGAAACCCGAGCACCUCCGGGCUGAGCGGAGCCCAAACAUAAGCAAAUAGACACACACACACACACACACACACACACACCCCGCAGGCAGGAGAAAGCAGGCGCACGUGGAAAGAAGGCCUCAGUGAGGAGAAAGGCAAGCACUUGCGAGAUGAGAAUCGAGGCCCCAGGCCGCCCUCCACCGACUGGGUCCCAGCCGCCUGCAGCGGGCCCUCUGCAGCUCCCAGUCCCACCAGGCCUGCCCUUUCUGAGCUCCUCCAAGACCCGGGCAAACCACCGCCUCUGUCAGCCUCCCCUGCUUGCUUUGAUCCUGCAUAACAGGCACCCAGGGAAAAGUAAAAAUACCUCCAGGUCCAAAACAGCCAGGAAAGCUCAGCUCUGGGACAGCUGGAAGGGUCCCUCCCCAGGUGAACUCACCAGGACUGAGCAGGUGCGCCUGCCCACCCCCAGCCAGGGCCUGGGCCAGAAAGAACCACAAACCACAAACCGACAACCAGAAAAGCUGCUGCGAUUUACUAAACUUCAAUUUAGUUUUCACCGAGCUGCUUUUGCUUCUCCCAAAGCAAAAGAAGAAACAGACUUCUCUCAAACAUGAAAUAAAGGACAGCGACACAGGGAAGGACCCCGCACUUGGCUCCCAGGGGUGGGGAGCAUCUUCUUCCCUCCCCGCUCCUCCCCACCUCCCCACCCUCUCAGGCUUCCGGCUCCUCUGCAGGCCAGCAGACCAGCCCCUAGGGUAGAGCCAGGAGAGCCAGGCCCAGAGAGGGUCCCGCAGGCUCCCCUGGGCCCCCAGCGCCCCCUCCCCACCUUCCUGAGCCUCCGGACCUGCGGUGGCCCCUCCCUCUCUGCUUGCCCCCAUUCCCUCCAGCACCUGCCUGGGCUGGAUUCACUUUGACCUCUGCAGUGCCUGGCCCAGCCCAGGUGCUUGGAGAACUCGGGGGACUGUGAAUAGAUACGUAGGAUCGGGAUUGAACCUCCUGAGCUGUUUAGAUGCCUUGUGGCCCACAUCUCACGUUUCCACGGAAGGAGGAGCUGGGGCUCCACUCCCCACAGGGAACCAUGAGAGAGAACCUGAGGCCUCCCCCCUCCUUCCUCCACCGCCCACAGCCCCACCUGCGUGGGAGUCCGGGCCGAAAUCACUGCACUGCAGGCCACUUCUGAGGCCCCCCUCUCUCCUGUCCCCCUGGGGAGCUGCAAUGGCUGGUCAGAGGUGAGGUUUGCUAGACAGUCUCCUCUCAAAUGGGCAAGGCCUAGACCCUGGGAGCAGGUCAUCAGAAGUCCGUUCUACCCCAGCAGCACCAGCAACAAACCUCCACCUGUUUGAGUCCCUGGGAGAGGGGAUGCUCUGCUAGCUUCCUCAAACCCCAGCAGCACAGCCCUCUCCCCACAUGGACCACAUCUGGGGGAACCACGUCCUCCUCACCUUGAUGUCUCUGCGCCCCAGCCUGCACCACACCUCGUGUCCCCCACCCGGGUGUGGGGACGUGAACGGAUGAUCCCUGGGCCCUUCCCACCCUCCUCUCCCAGGUAAUCUAUUUCUAGAUGAAUAGAAAGGGCAGCCCUGCUCGCAGGCACUCGCCCAGGCUGAGCCAUGUUCUAAGAGCAAGAAGGAGGCCACAGUGGGGGCGGGGGCCCUUUUCCUCCACGGUUAAUGCCCUAAAGCCUCUCUCUGUACGUGGUUAUCUGACACUGGUGAGCCUGGGAGCACGUCUGGGGCCACAUGGACAGCAUCACCUUCAUCUCUGCAUCCCCAGGGCCUGGCUCCAGGCUCAGAACACAGGCAAUUCUCCAUCAACAACCAAAGGCAGGUCCCUGCCCCGAGCCAGCGUAGCGCCACCCUCACCAGUGGGGACCCAGGGCAGGGGGCGGGGGGCAGCAGCAGCAUUCCAGGUCCACAGAGUGGAACUCAGACCUUGCACUGAAUUCUUGCAACUCGCUUAUAUGAUCAGGUGUGAAACAUAAUCCCUGACCCUUCAGUUAUGCAACAUGCCAUCCGAGUGUGUACCAAGUGUGUACUGAGCUCCCGCUGUGUGCCAGACUCUGCUCUUAGCACUGGGGAAAUGCUGGGAGUGAAAACAGAUACAGACACCUGCCCUGUUAAGCCCACAUCCAGUGGUGGUGCAGGGGAGACAACAGAUACAUCUACACACAGAUGGGGAUCCAGGGCUUAUGAAGAGACACAAGGCAGGUGAGAAGAAAGGAAAUGGCCCGGCAGGGGCUUUGUGAAGGAAACGAUAGUCAGGGAAGGCUUCUCAGAGGAGGUGGCAUUUGAACAGAGACUAAAAACAGGAAGGGCAUGAAUCAUGUAUCUGAGAGAAAAGCAUCCCAGGUAGAGUCCAGCAAGUGCAAAGGCCCUGAGGUGAGCAUACAAUUAGCAAUCAUUGUUCAAGGAACAGCAAGGAGGUCAGGAUGACUGGACAGCAGUAGGAAGGCGGAGAAGCAGGAGAGGAGGUCGGGGGCGGGGGGGGGGGGCUCCAAGCACAAAGCCAAGCAAGGCCUGGUGGGCCACAGUAUGGAUAGAGAAAGCAGGGCCCACUUUGAGCACAGCAGCCAGGGACUCAGGACAAGAGAAACCACAGGCUCCAUGCCAGCCACCCACUCAGGCCACAGCAGUUCACAUCAGUUGGAGGGCUAAGCAAGCAUAUCUCAUUGGCACUGGGGCCCACCAGUUCAGCCCAGAAAAUGCCCAGCCUUUUUAAAAAAAUUUUUUUGGCCAUGCUGCACAGCAUGUGGGAUCUUAGUUUCCUGACCAGGAAGCAAACCUGCACCUCCUGCUUUAAAAAUGCGGAGUCUUAACCACUGGACCACCAGGGAAGGCCCCAGAAAAUGCCCAGCCUUGACUGUCCCCCUCUCCCAGGGCAGAGGUGCUAGCCACCAGCUCCUGCUUGCUCGGUGUCUCCUACUGCAGCGGCCCCCACCUCCAUGCAAACCCUCAGACCUCUCCUUCCCACCUCAACCCCACCCCACCUCCUCUUGCCAGAACCACCCAGCUUUCUAGCCCAGCGCCCAAAGGGGCAAGUGUCUUUGUUUGCAGCUGUUGCUAUUGAGGGCUUCCCACUAAUGC
ensembl:lncRNA